rnacentral:rRNA from 1 species
AUCUUUAUUAAUGAUUCUUUUUAGAUCUUUCUUUUUUGCUUCGGCAUUUUAGGAGAUCUUGUUACUUUGAGUAAAUUAGAGUGUUCAAAGCAAACAGAUUAUAGCAUCUUUAUGCGUUUGAAUACUACAGCAUGGAAUAACAAAAUUGAACAAGUCAGAAUUUUGUUCUUUUUUCUUAUUUUGGCUUAGUUACGAUUAAUAGGAGUAGCUUGGGGGCAUUUGUAUUCAGAUGUCAGAGGUGAAAUUCUUGGAUUUUCUGGAGACAAACAACUGCGAAAGCAUUUGCCUAAAAUACUUCCAUUAAUCAAGAACGAAAGUUAAGGGAGUGAAGACGAUCAGAUACCGUCGUAAUCUUAACCAUAAACUAUGCCGACUAGGCUUUGGAUGAAAGAUUUUAAAAUAAGAGUUUUUUCUCUG